CAACCUGCCCAUCACUUGGGGAUAACCUUGCGAAAGUAAGACUAAUACCCAAUGAUAUCUCUAGAAGACAUCUGAAAGGGAUUAAAGAUUUAUCGGUGAUGGAUGGGGAUGCGUCUGAUUAGCUUGUUGGCGGGGUAACGGCCCACCAAGGCGACGAUCAGUAGGGGUUCUGAGAGGAAGGUCCCCCACAUCGGAACUGAGACACGGUCCAAACUCCUACGGGAGGCAGCAGUGAGGAAUAUUGGUCAAUGGGCGAGAGCCUGAACCAGCCAAGUAGCGUGCAGGAUGACGGCCCUAUGGGUUGUAAACUGCUUUUAUAAGGGAAUAAAGUGAGUCUCGUGAGACUUUUUGCAUGUACCUUAUGAAUAAGGACCGGCUAAUUCCGUGCCAGCAGCCGCGGUAAUACGGAAGGUCCGGGCGUUAUCCGGAUUUAUUGGGUUUAAAGGGAGCGUAGGCCGGAGAUUAAGCGUGUUGUGAAACGUAGAUGCUCAACAUCCGCACUGCAGCGCGAACUGGUUUCCUUGAGUACGCACAAAGUGGGCGGAAUUCGUGGUGUAGCGGUGAAAUGCUUAGAUAUCACGAAGAACUCCGAUUG
rnacentral:rRNA from 1 species